AACGAACGCUGGCGGCAGGCUUAACACAUGCAAGUCGAGCGCCCCGCAAGGGGAGCGGCAGACGGGUGAGUAACGCGUGGGAACGUACCUUUUGGUUCGGAACAACUCCGGGAAACUGGAGCUAAUACCGGAUAAGCCCUAACGGGGAAAGAUUUAUCGCCGAAAGAUCGGCCCGCGUCUGAUUAGCUAGUUGGUGAGGUAACGGCUCACCAAGGCGACGAUCAGUAGCUGGUCUGAGAGGAUGAUCAGCCACACUGGGACUGAGACACGGCCCAGACUCCUACGGGAGGCAGCAGUGGGGAAUAUUGGACAAUGGGCGCAAGCCUGAUCCAGCCAUUCCGCGUGAGUGAUGAAGGCCUUAGGGUUGUAAAGCUCUUUUGUCCGGGAAGAUAAUGACUGUACCGGAAGAAUAAGCCCCGGCUAACUUCGUG
rnacentral:rRNA from 1 species